rnacentral:lncRNA from 1 species
AUGGGGAUUAUGGGAUUCAGGUCCAAGAUGAUGAGAUUCAGGUUCAAGAUGACUCUGAUGGGGAUUAUGGGAUUCAGGUCCAAGAUGAUGAGAUUCAGGUUCAAGAUGAUGAGAUUCAGGUUCAAGAUGAUGAGAUUCAGGUUCAAGAUGAUGAGAUUCAGGUUCAAGAUGAUGAGAUUCAGGUUCAAGAUGACUCUGAUGGGGAUUAUGGGAUUCAGGUCCAAGAUGAUGAGAUUCAGGUUCAAAAUGACUCUGAUGGGAAUUAUGGGAUUCAGGUUCAGAGUGUUCCUGCUGUGGCGGAUGAGGAGCAGGGAGGCUUUCCCACGGCAGGGAAGGGUGUUGAUGAUUCUGAAGAUGAUACUGAAGCUAGCCAGGUGCAAAGGGAGGACAGCUCCCAGUCUGAUAGCAUGCAGACAGAGUCUAAUGCUAACAAGCUGUCUGGCCUUGAUGAAACAGAAUCUUUGGAUCGAGCUGGCCGUUUGGAAUUCAAGAUUCGCAGGAGUGUUAUAGCAAACAAGAGGGAGGUCAGAGGCCAAAGAAAUGCAUUCAUGCUGUGCAAAGGGUAUUAAAAGAGUGUGCUGAGAGAGGAACCUUUGUCAAAGCAACUUCUCAUUUGAGUCAAGAAGCCAGCUCUUGCUUUCCCGGAUUAUCUUGCAGCCUUGGUGUAUGACUUUGUCAUGUGUUGAUGGAACCUUGUUUUAUGCCUAACGUUUUCUUGGAUUAUUCUUUAUAGCCUUGUU